UAGCAAAAUAUGCUUGCCCUGAGGUAUUGGAAAUGCUCGUGGGAAACUCUGCUAUUCUGGUCAGGUUUCAACCAAGAGCAGGAGCAGAUGUGUGACUAUUGCCACAAAUCCAAUGCCAGAAGAAACUUUGUGGCAAAAGACUAAAGGGUCUAGUUUCCUCCAUGCACAUGGGAUUGAUUCAG